rnacentral:misc_RNA from 1 species
GAUGAAGAACGUAGCGAAAUGCGAUACGUAAUGUGAAUUGCAGAAUCCAGUGAAUCAUCGAAUCUUUGAACGCACAUUGCGCCCGCCAGCAUUCUGGCGGGCAUGCCUGUUCGAGCGUCAUUUCAACCCUCGACCUCCCUUUGGGGAAGUCGGCGUUGGGGACCGGCAGCACACCGCCGGCCCUGAAAUGGAGUGGCGGCCCGUCCGCGGCGACCUCUGCGUAGUAAACCAACUCGCACCGGAACCCCGACGUGGCCACGCCGUAAAACACCCAACUUCUGAACGUUGACCUCGAAUCAGGUAGGACUACCCGCUGAACUUAAGCAUAUCAAUAAGCGGAGGA